rnacentral:tRNA from 1 species
GCCAAAGUAGCUCAAUCGGUAGAGCGCAAGACUGGCUUUUCUUGUCGUUGUUGGUUCAAGUCCAGCCUUUGGCG